CACACAAUGAAUAGCUCUUAUAUUACCAUCUAGAAAAAUACCUUCAGUUCAUUUUUUUUAUUAUUAUUAUUUUCCCAAUCCAUUCAGUCAAUGGUUCUGCAGAUCCCUUUUGCACCUUCUCACUUUGUGGUGCUUAAGACCAAACCACAUGGUAUAUUAAAGGCACAUGCUGGCACUAUGAAGUGCCAGACGUGCAGCAUAAACAACACUCAAUGUGGCCAUGUGCGAGUCCUGCAGGACUGUUUGAAAGCAACAGGUGCUGAGGGGAGUGCCGUGAGAGCAGCUCUGAACGGAGGAGCGCCUUAUCAGGAUGUCCGGAAGCUGGCUGUGUCCUCAAAGCCCAUCCCAUUUGACAUCCCCAGUGAUAAGAGGAUGCACUACAGCAAUUCUUUUGCUUUGCUGGAGAGGAACUCCGAGGAUGUGAUACUCCUCCAUAAAAAUGUUGGGAGGUGUGAUUGUGGCCAUGCCAUGUCUGCCACCCCAAAAGAUAUAUAUAUUUACACUCAGGCCAUGGUGGCAAAAGCGAUAAUUCAUCAACAAGCAUGUGAAUUACGUGGGGUCCAACGGCCCUUUGAUGGGGGAGAGGAGUUCCUCCUGAACAUGGGAACAUAUGUAGUCCACCAUGGGAUACUAAGGGACUACAUGUACCAUUUUUUAAAUUCAAGGCUAGUAUCACAUUAUACACAAUCAGUAUCUGGACAUGCCGACCAGCAAUGUUCAAAGCACUUACGGUACACCUCUCUUUCAUCUCCAGCUCAACGAUGUAU